rnacentral:rRNA from 1 species
AUACGUAGGUGGCGAGCGUUGUCCGGAUUUACUGGGUGUAAAGGGCGAGUAGGCGGGCUUGCAAGUCAGAUGUGAAAUACCGAGGCUCAACUUCGGGGCUGCAUUUGAAACUGCGAGUCUUGAGUGAUGGAGAGGCAGGCGGAAUUCCCAGGGGAGCGGGAAAAUGCAUAGAUAUUGGGAAGAAAACCAGUGGCGAAGGCGGCCUUCUGGACAAUAACUGACGCUGAGGAGCGAAAGUGUGGGGAGCAAACAGGAUUAGAUACCCUGGUAGUCCACGCUGUAAACGAUGAUGACUAGGUGUGGGGGGACUGAGCCCUUCCGUGCCGCAGUUAACACAAUAAGUCAUCCACCUGGGGAGUACGAUCGCAAGAUUGAAACUCAAAGGAAUUGACGGGG